GGCCAGAUAGCGCAACGGUAGCGCGCGCGCGCCCUUUGUAUAUGUUGUCCAAUGUAUGCUCGCGAGGUCUUCGUUCGAUUCGAAGUCUGGCCA